UGGGGAAUUUUCCGCAAUGGGCGCAAGCCUGACGGAGCAAUACCGCGUGCGGGAGGAAGGCCUUUGGGUCGUAAACCGCUUUUGUUAGGGAAGAAAAUUUGACGGUACCUAACGAAUCAGCCUCGGCUAACUCCGUGCCAGCAGCCGCGGUAAGACGGAGGAGGCAAGCGUUAUCCGGAAUUAUUGGGCGUAAAGCGUCCGCAGGUGGCAUCUCAAGUCUGCUGUCAAAGCCCAGGGCUCAACUCUGGAUCGGCAGUGGAAACUGAGGCGCUAGAGUACGGUAGGGGCAGAGGGAAUUCCCAGUGUAGCGGUGAAAUGCGUAGAGAUUGGGAAGAACACCAGUGGCGAAGGCGCUCUACUGGACCUGUACUGACACUCAGGGACGAAAGCUAGGGGAGCGAAAGGGAUUAGAUACCCCGGUAGUCC
rnacentral:rRNA from 1 species